rnacentral:rRNA from 1 species
UACGUAGGGGGCAAGCGUUGUCCGGAAUCAUUGGGCGUAAAGCGCGUGUAGGCGGUUCGGUAAGUCUGCUGUGAAAGUCCAGGGCUCAACCCUGGGAUGCCGGUGGAUACUGUCGGGCUAGAGUGCGGAAGAGGCGAGUGGAAUUCCUGGUGUAGCGGUGAAAUGCGCAGAUAUCAGGAAGAACACCCGUGGCGAAGGCGGUUCUCUGGGACGGUACUGACGCUGAGACGCGAAAGCGUGGGGAGCGAACAGG